rnacentral:rRNA from 1 species
CCUACGGGGGGCAGCAGUGAGGAAUAUUGGUCAAUGGACGAGAGUCUGAACCAGCCAAGCCGCGUGAAGGAUGAAUGCCCUAUGGGUUGUAAACUUCUUUUAUCUGGGCAUAAAGUUCAGUAUUUAUCCUGUUUUGUCUGUACCCUCUGAAUAAGCAUCGGCUAACUCCGUGCCAGCAGCCGCGGUAAUACGGAGGAUUCGAGCGUUCUCCGGAUUUAUUGGGUUUAAAGGGUGCGGAGGCGGACGCUUAAGUCAGGUGUGAAAGUUGGGGGCUCAACCGUAAACGUGCAGUGGAUACUGGGUGUCUUGAGUGCAGCGGAGGUAUGCGGAAGUCGUGGUGUAGCGGUGAAAUGCUUAGAUAUCGCGAAGAACUCCGAUUGCGAAGGCAGCGUGCGGUACUGCAACUGACGCUGAGGCACGAAAGCGUGGGGAUCGAACAGGAUUAGAUACCCGAGUAGUC